CGUGUCGUGAGAUGUUGGGUUAAGUCCCGCAGCGAGCGCAACCCUCACUCUUAGUUACCAGCGGGUAAUGCCGGGGACUCUAUGGGGACUGCCGGUGCCAAACCGGAGGAAGGUGGGGAUGACGUCUAGUCAUCAUGGCUCUUACGGCUAGGGUCUACACACGUGCUACAAUGGACCGGGCAGAGGGUCGCCAACUCGCGAGAGUGAGCCAAUCCCCAAACCGGUCCUCAGUUCGGAUUGCAGUCUGCUACUCUACUGCAUGAAUCUGGAAUCGCUAGUAAUCGUGGAUCAGCUACCCCACGGCGAAUACGUUCCCGGGCCUU
rnacentral:rRNA from 1 species